rnacentral:rRNA from 1 species
GGGUUGUGAGGUUAAGCGACUAAGCGUACACGGUGGAUGCCCUGGCAGUCAGAGGCGAUGAAGGACGUGCUAAUCUGCGAAAAGCGCCGGCGAGGUGAUAUGAACCUUUGACCCGGCGAUGUCCGAAUGGGGAAACCCAGUGUGUUCCGACACACUAUCGUUAACUGAAUACAUAGGUUAACGAGGCGAACCGGGGGAACUGAAACAUCUAAGUACCCCGAGGAAAAGAAAUCAACCGAGAUUCCCCCAGUAGCGGCGAGCGAACGGGGAGCAGCCCGGAGUCUGAAUCAGCUUGUGUGUUAGUGGAACGGUCUGGAAAGUCCGACGGUACAGGGUGAUAGUCCCGUACACGAAAAUGCACAGGUUGUGAACUCGAAGAGUAGGGCGGGACACGUGGUAUCCUGUCUGAAUAUGGGGGGACCAUCCUCCAAGGCUAAAUACUCCUGACUGACCGAUAGUGAACCAGUACCGUGAGGGAAAGGCGAAAAGAACCCCGGCGAGGGGAGUGAAAAAG